UAGCCAUGAUGUGGACAUGAAUUGAUGAGAUCCUUGUAUCGUUCUCAACAUUGAAAGAAGGUCUCUUCCUCUUUUUGAGUAAAAUUCAUGAUUACUUUCCUUAAAGUAU